rnacentral:rRNA from 1 species
CGGCAAACGGGUGCGGAGCACGUACACAACCUUCCGAGAAGUGGGGAAUAGCCCAGAGAAAUUUGGAUUAACACCCCGUAACAUAACGAUGUGGCAUCACAUUGUUAUUAUAGCUUCGGCGCUUCUUGAUGGGUGUGCGGCUGAUUAGAUAGUUGGCGGGGUAACGGCCCACCAAGUCUACGAUCAGUAGCUGAUGUGAGAGCAUGAUCAGCCACACGGGCACUGAGACACGGGCCCGACUCCUACGGGAGGCAGCAGUAAGGAAUAUUGGUCAAUGGACGCAAGUCUGAACCAGCCAUGCCGCGUGAAGGAUUAAGGUCCUCUGGAUUGUAAACUUCUUUUAUCUGGGACGAAAAAAGGCGAUUCUUCGUCACUUGACGGUACCAGAUGAAUAAGCACCGGCUAACUCCGUGCCAGCAGCCGCGGUAAUACGGAGGGUGCAAGCGUUAUCCGGAUUCACUGGGUUUAAAGGGUGCGUAGGCGGGCAGGUAAGUCAGUGGUGAAAUCCUAGAGCUUAACUCUAGAACUGCCAUUGAUACUAUCUGUCUUGAAUAUUGUGGAGGUAAGCGGAAUAUGUCAUGUAGCGGUGAAAUGCUUAGAUAUGACAUAGAACACCUAUUGCGAAGGCAGCUUACUACGCAUAUAUUGACGCUGAGGCACGAAAGCGUGGGGAUCAAACAGGAUUAGAUACCCUGGUAGUCCACGCCCUAAACGAUGAUUACUCGACAUUUGUGAUACACUAUAAGUGUCUGAGCGAAAGCAUUAAGUAAUCCACCUGGGAAGUACGACCGCAAGGUUGAAACUCAAGGAAUUGGCGGGGGUCCGCACAAGCGGUGGAGCAUGUGGUUUAAUUCG